GAACUCUCAAUGAAAGCACCAAUGUCGGUGUCAAAACCGGCGGAUCUCGGGUAGGGGGUCCCAAUCUGUGUGUCUUGGGCUGAUGGUAACAGGAAGCAAGGGACACAAUGUUUACCCAGGUUCGGGCCCUCUCGGUGGAGGUAAAACCCUACUUCCUGCUUGAUUAAUAUUGAAGAUAUGAGUAGUACAAGAGUAGAUCUACCACGAGAUCGUAGGGGUUAAACCCUAGAAGCUAGCCUAUGAUGGUAUGAUUGUAAUUGUGAUCGGCCUUCUAAGGACCAACCUCUCUGGUUUAUAUAGACACCGGAGAGGGCUAGGGUUUACAUGGAGUCGGUUACAAGGAAGGAAAUAUAAUAUACGGAUCGCCAAGCUUGUCUUCCAUGCAAAGGAGAGUCCCAUCCGGACCUGGGCCGAAGUCUUGAGUCUUGUAUCUUCACGCUUCAAUAGUCCGGACGAUGUAUAUAGUCCGGUUGUCUGGAUAGCCCUAAUCCAGGACUCCCUCAAUGACAACCAGGAGGUAGGCUUGGAAGCAGCCAUCCUUUGAAGAAAGCGUAAUAGCUCAGUGGUCUAGCUCCAUGGCACCGAAAAUGUCUCAGGGCUCAAGUGAUUCACCAAAGUGACGAGACCUUGAAAGCAGCUUUUUCAAGUGUCAAUAAUGGGACAUUCUGUCAAUCGGGGAAGAUUUUUGGUGACAAGACCUGGAGAUAUCAGAAGUGAGAAUGCUGACAUGAGUAAUGAGAAAUCCUAUGAAAACACAAUCGCCUACCAGUGGAAGGCUUUCUGUGUUCAAUGAAUCUACGCAGAGUGAAUCGGUCCCUAAGGAACCCCCGAAUGGGCUGCCGUCCGAUGGGUACAUGAAAGUGGUGAAGUUGCUUUGACUACUUAACCAUGCCUGGAUCGUCGGAGCGAAUUGGAUGAUCGGGCCGACGGCUGCCCCCUCUUCCCCUCGCUCUCCUUUCCUUAAUAUUCACCGUCGAGUCAUCAAAGCCGUCAACUAAUUCAGAGGGGCUCGGCUGGCCCGGUCGCCCUACGCUACUGGCGCUUCUGAAGACGAAGCUCUCGUCUUUGGUGACCAGCAAACACAGGGCUAAAACCUGUAGUUUUGAAGCAAGGGAUGAGCGCGAAAGCCAUUGAGCUUCCGUACACGCCCAUACGUUUUCUUGCUGAGGCGGACACGGAUUUCUCUCUAAAGGCGAAGAAAAAGAAGUGGGCGAACAUUUGGCCCAGCGGGCGAACAUGCCGGCUUCGGCUCCGCGCACCUACUGACACCUUUCGAAGCACUUUCACGUGUGAACCGAAGUCGUCUUGCCGAACUCCUUCCUUUCUCAUUUCAGUCCUCGCCUUUUUCAUCUUUCGUAGGGGCCUUUAGUCUUUUGAUUAGAGUGGAGGUCACGAGAGAGCAAAGCUUACCGCCCUGCCAUAGUCGCGACGAUCUUAAUAGUCGGUCGCGACUGUUGUCAUAGUCAACGACGGUUGAAACUUCCAGGAAAAAACUUUGAAUUGGGAGGGCGAUCCUCCCGGUGAACUGACCGUACCCCAAACCGACAUAGGUGAACAAGUAGAGUAUACUAGGGCGCGUCGAGAGAACCAUGUCGAAGGAACUCGGCAAAAUGACCCCGUAACUUCGGGAGAAGGGGUGCUCUCCUAUCUUUUGAUUAGGAAAGCGGCACAUACCAGGGGGUAGCGACUGUUUAUUAAAAACAUAGGACUCUGCUAAAUGGUAACACGAUGUAUAGAGUCUUACACAUGCCCGGUGCUGGAAGGUCGGAAGGAGAAGUGUGAUAAGCUUUGAAUAGAAGCCCCGGUAAACGACGGCAGUAACUCUAACUGUCCUAAGGUAGCGAAAUUCCUAGUCGCAUAACUAGCGACCUGCACGAAUGGUGUAACGAUUGCCCCGCUGUCUCCGACAUGGACCCGGUGAAAUUGAAUUCUCCGUGAAGAUGCGGAGUACCAACGGCUAGAUGGUAAGACCCCGUGCACCUUGACUAUAGCUUCGUAGUGACAACCUUGAUCAAAUGUGUAGGAUAGGUGGGAGGUGGUGACACACAACGACCAAUCCUGAAAGACCACUCUUUCGUCUAAGGAUGCCUAACCGCCACACCGAUCAUUCGGGGAGGGGGGGGACAUUGCGACGUGGGUAGUUUAUCUGGGGCGGAUGCCUCCUAAAGAGUAAUGGAGGUGUGCAAAGGUAGGCUCAAGUGUUGAUUCUUCUCGUGAGCGUAAUGGUAUAGGCCUGCCUGACCAUGAGACCGACUGGUCGAACAAAGACGAAAGUCAGCCAUAGUGAUCUGGAGUCCCGUGUGGAAGGGCUCUCGCUCAAAGGAUCAAAGGUACGCGGGGAUAACAGGCUCAGGACUCCCAAGAGCUCUUAUCGACGGACUCAUUUGGCACCUCGAUGUCGACUCAUCACAUCCUGGGGUUGAAGAAGGUCCCAAGGGUUUGGAUUUUCGCCGAUGAAAGUGGUAUGUGAGUUGGGUUUAGAACGUCGUGAGAAAGUUUGGUUCCUAUAUACCGUUGGUGUUAAAAGGAUAACUGCGAGGAGCCAGCCCUAGUACGAGAGGACUGGGCUGGGUCAACCUAUGGUGUAUCGGUUGUUAUGCCAAUAGCAGCGCCGGGCAGCUAAGUUUGUAUGGAAGAACUGCUGCGCCGCGGGAAAUCCUUCUCUAUACAAGUUCUUGUACGAGGUUUUUGAAUAGAACUUCAAUAGGCGAGAGGUGUAAGCACCGCAAGGGGUGAAGCGAUCUCAUACUAAACGAAUGGAAAUUGACAACA
rnacentral:rRNA from 1 species